UUGAUCUGAGUGUGGCUGAGAAGGUUCAUCGUGCCAAUCACCGUCCUUAUUUCACAGAAAGGGCUGCUCAGCGCACGAUUGUGGUAGAUCUCGAAGAAUGACUUGCUCUACUUUUUGUUUGAUGACAAAGGGGGAGAGAAAUGAUAUUAUUGCAUGUAUUUAUGGGGAGCUUAUUUUGUUAUGCAUAUAUUCAGGGGGAACUUAUGAG
rnacentral:lncRNA from 1 species